UUCUUCUUGUCUGUUGCCACCGCGUAUCACGUUCCGUACGAAGUUCUGGAUUGCUACCGUGACCACUGUGAUUUCCGUAGAAUAUGUAUGAAUUAUUUUAUUUCUUUAUACAUACCAAGACUAAAGGAUGACAAUUGAAAAUUUGAUGCACACAAAAAAAUGUGCAUGUUGUCUGGGACGUAAUAAUUUGUAGUAAAAAAUGUAAAAAGCAUCAAGUCGUUAUUCAGUUUUUAAAUAAUCAAUCAUUAAAAAAAGAUUGGUAGACGAGGAAUUACCGUCGUUUCGAAAAACGUAACUUUUUAUACUGGAAUAAUGAUAAAGUAUAUUGCAUUUAUUGUAUAUAACGUAUAAAUGAAUACGGGAGAAGAAAUUAUUAUUCUAAAGAAAAAUUACAUGCCAAUAGAAACAAAAUAUUAACAGAUCAAAGCAUAAUCAUUCCAAGGGGUCUGUUUUCCUUCCCGAAAGUGCAGGAUGAACUCGCAAAAAUUGCAUUGCAAAAACCAUGUGGGGUGCUCGGCUUUGAUUUUUCGCACGACAUACCACUGAUUAAUAUUCAAAAGCUCGUAAGUAAAACAAAACAAAAAAAA